GGUUGAAUAAAAUUCUAGAUAGGCUUAUGAUAAUGACAUUAUCUAUCUAUGUGUCUUGACUAAAUUACGUGCCAGCAGUCGCGGUAAUACGUACAAUACUAGUGUUAUUCAUCUUUAAUAGGUUUAAAGUGUACCCAGACGGUGAAUAUAGCCUAAUAAAGGUACUGUAUUUACUAGAGUUUAUAUGUAAUGGUGCAGGAAGGUACUGUUGAGUGUAAAGAUGAAAUUCUGUCAUACCAGAUAAGUGGCACAGGUUUAGGCGAAAGCAUCACUUUAUGUAACAACUGACGUUGGCGGACGAAGGCUUAAUAAACGAACAGGAUUAGAUACCCCAGUAGUCUUUGCAGACAAUGAUGAAUGUCAUAGAUUUAAUAUCGAUAUUAAGUGUAUAAAUGAAAGUGUAAGCAUUCCACCUCAAGAGUAAUUUGGCAACAUUGGAAUUGAAAUCAUUAGACCGUUUCUGAAACCAGUAAUGAAGUAUGUUGUUUAAUUUGAUAAUCCGCAAAAAACCUUACCACAAUUUGAAUAUUAAUUAUGAUAAUUUUUACAAGCGUUGCACGGCUGUCUUCAGUUAAUGUCGUGAGAUUUUGGUUAGUUCCAUAAAAUUAACGUAAACCCUUA
rnacentral:rRNA from 2 species